GAAAAUACUGAAAGCGAAAGCGUAGAAGAGGAACAAGGAGAAGAAGAUGAACAACGAGAAGAAGAUAAAGAAGUAGAAGAAGAUAACAAUGAAGAAGGAAAGAGGGAGACAGCGGUAGAUGAAGAUUCGAGUUCAUGGACGAGUGAACAAGAUGAAAGACCAAUGGAUAAUAAGAAGAGAAAGAAUACUACGAAAAAGAGAAAGAAGGUGAAGGCUAUUAAAAAGGAACAAAAGGCAAGAGAAGAUUGAAGAAGGAAGGGAAAGGCAUCAGUGAAACAAGAAAAAUAUAUGUUGUAUGGUACUGCCGUCUAUGUGAAGUAUGAUAAUUACAUAGUAUUUGUGACUUCUGUUGUAUGUGAUUCAUUCGAUUACACUGUAUUGUUGUAUUGUAAAUGUUCUAUAUUCAUUCAAUUACACUGUAUUUGUGUAUUGUGUAGCUCAUGUUCUGAAUGUGGGGUAUGGUAUUGUGAAUGUAACUCAUGUUCUAAAUUACACUAUAUUUUUUUAAUUCUCAUGUAUAUGAUGCAUUUAAUUACAGUGUAUUUGUGUACU